GGCCAGGGCAUGGGGGGCUGGGAGUGCAGGGGACGACUCCUGGCCGAGGGGGCUCUUUAUCUCAAGAAAUGGCAUUCAAAUUUCCCCGCCAGAUGGCUGUGAAUUCACAUAUGUCCACUUAAGGUAAAAGUCAGGUGGGAAUUUUGGAGGUAGGGCUCAGAACUCUGGCAGAAUCUGAAAUGAGGUCUAGAGAGACUGGAGUCUCUUGCUCUACAUGUGCCUGGGGCUGUUCCUGGUCAACACCGCAGGUGCAGGACCCAGGGAACCCGGGACAGUGGCAGGAACAUAGCCGCUUGCCUAGGCUGGCAGAAAGGAUGUGGGUUUUGAGCCAGUGGUCUGGAUUCAGAUCCCUUACUGACCCCCUGGGUACACUUAAGGAUCCUCAGGUGAGAGUCUGAGGCCAGGUUUCAUGGGGAAUUCUUUUUUCAUUGGCAGAUUUGCAGUCUUCCAGAGCCCCCUGCCUUGUGGGCCAUUGUAUCCAAAGUGCUGGGCCAGCCUGCCGGCUUAGGCCACACCCCUCCUUCAGAUGGGGUGCCUGCUGCCAGGCAACCACAGCCUAAAGAAAAAAAUGCAGCCAAGGGACUGUAGCUGUUCUGCACCACGCAGGCUGCCAGGAAGGAGUGGGGAAGCUUUUCUUUUAAGAGACCCUUAAAUGGUGUUGCAAAGUGAUGUUCAACAUAGGCUCUUGGCAAAAGAGAAUAGGAUUUAAAAGCACAGACGGGAAGUGUGGACGGCACCCAAACCAACACGUGUCAUCACAUACCUCUGGAUGUCCCUCACUUUGGCAGUAAAGUGGCACUCAGCGUACAGGAUGGCUCAAAAACAGCCUUAGCUGACCGUGCACAAGUCAGAGCUCCAUGAUUAUGGGCUAAGUAUGCAGCUAAGUAUAAUGACCUCACAAGCCACGAUGUGCCCUUACCUGCCGCUGCCAAUGGACGGGAACGCGAUGGACUUGAGCUUCUUAUCGUCUGCCAGGGCCAGACAGUUCUUCACCGUCUUUUCCAGAAGUUCCUCACACUUGUCUGCACCCCAGACCGGACUGUUACAGUGGAUCACAAACUUGGCAGGCAGGCCGUGACCUGCGCUGACAGCAGCUGGAGGAGACAAGACAGGAACAGUGAGUUCUGUCCCUCACACGCCCAACACAGCGCCCUCCAGCUGCAGCAUGCCCCCAGGCUCCCCUGUGACCUGCAUCCAGGGAGGGCUGCAGCUGCCUGCCAUCUUGUGCUUCUGAUGUCCCCCUAGAAACUGCUCACCAGCGAGUCUUCUCGGGAAACACCAGGCCAAGAGCCACCCUUGGAAAGCUGGCAUUGAGAUGCACCGCCACUAAGAAUUUUAGCCAAGAUUACAGCCAGCCCUCUCUGUACAUCCUCCCAGAGGCGGACCCUGAACCACCUAACUUGACUGACUCUGUCAGAAUGUUUGCUGCCUCAAAUUUGCCUCUGGGGAUCUCUAAGCCCCCUUCCUCCUGUGAACUCCUGUACACAUAAUUAUGAUGUGUCUAUAAAUCUCCCCGGCAGAGUUCAGGAUAAACCUAUUAGGAAAGCAACUCCAUUUAAUGAGCCACUAAGCAACAUGACUGGCAGCUCUGGUGCCCUCUUCUCCUCCUGAACUGAUCUUCGUUUUUGACAGAAUUAAAUUGUUCUUUCACGCUGGAA